CAAAAAUCAUGUUUUGCAUACCGGAAUAUUGUGUGCCCGUGAAGGUGAUUUUUUGUUCUGCAAUAUGAUGAUUGCUUCAUAUUUUUUCUAGCGCUGGAUGCAUGUCAAUUAUAAUCACAUGGGACUUCCAAGUUCCAACUCAGUUUUGAUUUGCUUGAGAUUUUUCCACUUCAACUGUUGUGCUAAACUUUUUGGCUGAGGGAAUAUUUUGGAAAUAUGUGCACGUUAGGUAUCAUUACUCUUUUUUAUAUUCUCUAUACCGGUGCAAUUUUUGAGACUUUUGAGAUCAUAAUAUGAAUAAAUCUUAGAUGAGCAUGUAAGGACAGAGGUUUACAUCCAUUAUGAUGGGGAGGUUCUUACUAGGACAACGAUUAUUUCCAUGUGAUUAGUUAAGUCAUUAGGAUCACUUUUUUUGCGUUCAUUAAUUAGCACCUCAUAUUUCUAAUUCAGGU